CAAAACCGUUCAGUGAUUUAUAAACUUUAUGUGCAUCUAUCUUCCUGGUUUUAGUCAGAGCCUGAGCAGCAGCAUUGAGAUUUUUUAGCAGAUUUGAUCAUUUUUCAGAGAAAAAAAAAAAUCUAUUUUUUCAAUUCAGUAAUUGGAAUACUUUUACAAAACAAAUUUAUAAGCAAUGUCUGUUUAACUACAUAGCUAAAAACAAAGUAUUCUCAAUGUAAAUUGAUUUUACUCAGAUAUGUGAUUUCUUGUUUCCACAGAUCCGAACAUCAUCCUUCCCAUCGGUUUAGUGUUUGGUGGAGUGACUGUUCUCUUCGUUAUCAGCGUCACCGUCUACUACAUCUUCAGGAUAGACAUUGUGCUGUGCUUCAGGAGAGCGUUUCCAGUCCUUUAUACAAAUAAAGAUCUUGAUGGCAAGCUGUAUGAUGCUUAUGUGGCAUACCCCAAUCCUGGUGCCUUUGGCUUCAGUGAGGAAGUGGAGAAGUUCGCCCUGCAGACGUUGCCUGAAGUGUUGGAACAGGCCUGUGGCUACAAACUGUUCAUCGCGGGCCGUGACUGCCUGCCGGGGCAGGCCAUCGUGGACUCUGUGGAUGAGAACCUUCAGGCUAGUCGUCGUGUUCUCCUGCUCUACACCGCUUCCACUUUCAUU